rnacentral:rRNA from 1 species
GAUGAACGCUGGCGGCGUGCCUAAUACAUGCAAGUCGAGCGAACGGACGAGAAGCUUGCUUCUCUGAUGUUAGCGGCGGACGGGUGAGUAACACGUGGAUAACCUACCUAUAAGACUGGGAUAACUUCGGGAAACCGGAGCUAAUACCGGAUAAUAUUUUGAACCGCAUGGUUCAAAAGUGAAAGACGGUCUUGCUGUCACUUAUAGAUGGAUCCGCGCUGCAUUAGCUAGUUGGUAAGGUAACGGCUUACCAAGGCAACGAUGCAUAGCCGACCUGAGAGGGUGAUCGGCCACACUGGAACUGAGACACGGUCCAGACUCCUACGGGAGGCAGCAGUAGGGAAUCUUCCGCAAUGGGCGAAAGCCUGACGGAGCAACGCCGCGUGAGUGAUGAAGGUCUUCGGAUCGUAAAACUCUGUUAUUAGGGAAGAACAUAUGUGUAAGUAACUGUGCACAUCUUGACGGUACCUAAUCAGAAAGCCACGGCUAACUACGUGCCAGCAGCCGCGGUAAUACGUAGGUGGCAAGCGUUAUCCGGAAUUAUGGGCGUAAAGCGCGCGUAGCGGUUUUUUAGUCUGAUGUGAAAGCCCACGGCUCAACCGUGGAGGGUCAUUGGAAACUGGAAAACUUGAGUGCAGAAGAGGAAAGUGGAAUUCCAUGUGUAGCGGUGAAAUGCGCAGAGAUAUGGAGGAACACCAGUGGCGAAGGCGACUUUCUGGUCUGUAACUGACGCUGAUGUGCGAAAGCGUGGGGAUCAAACAGGAUUAGAUACCCUGGUAGUCCACGCCGUAAACGAUGAGUGCUAAGUGUUAGGGGGUUUCCGCCCCUUAGUGCUGCAGCUAACGCAUUAAGCACUCCGCCUGGGGAGUACGACCGCAAGGUUGGAACUCAAAGGAAUUGACGGGGACCCGCACAAGCGGUGGAGCAUGUGGUUUAAUUCGAAGCAACGCGAAGAACCUUACCAAAUCUUGACAUCCUUUGACAACUCUAGAGAUAGAGCCUUCCCCUUCGGGGGACAAAGUGACAGGUGGUGCAUGGUUGUCGUCAGCUCGUGUCGUGAGAUGUUGGGUUAAGUCCCGCAACGAGCGCAACCCUUAAGCUUAGUUGCCAUCAUUAAGUUGGGCACUCUAAGUUGACUGCCGGUGACAAACCGGAGGAAGGUGGGGAUGACGUCAAAUCAUCAUGCCCCUUAUGAUUUGGGCUACACACGUGCUACAAUGGACAAUACAAAGGGCAGCGAAACCGCGAGGUCAAGCAAAUCCCAUAAAGUUGUUCUCAGUUCGGAUUGUAGUCUGCAACUCGACUACAUGAAGCUGGAAUCGCUAGUAAUCGUAGAUCAGCAUGCUACGGUGAAUACGUUCCCGGGUCU